UGGGGAAUCUUCCGCAAUGGGCGAAAGCCUGACGGAGCAAUGCCGCGUGGAGGUAGAAGGCCCACGGGUCGUAAACUCCUUUUCUCGGAGAAGAAGCAGUGACGGUAUCCGAAGAAUAAGCAUCCGCUAACUCUGUGCCAGCAGCCGCGGUAAGACAGGGGAUGCAAGCGUUAUCCGGAAUGAUUGGGCGUAAAGCGUCUGUAGGUGGCUCCUUAAGUCCGCUGUCAAAUCCCAGGGCUCAACCCUGGACAGUCGGUGGAAACUACUAAGCUGGAGUACGGUAGGGGCAGGGGGAAUUUCCGGUGGAGCGGUGAAAUGCGUAGAGAUCGGAAAGAACACCAAAGGCGAAGGCACCCUGCUGGGCCGACACUGACACUGAGAGACGAAAGCUAGGGGAGCGAAUGGG
rnacentral:rRNA from 1 species